CCUACGGGAGGCAGCAGUGGGGAAUAUUGGACAAUGGGCGAAAGCCUGAUCCAGCAAUGCCGCGUGAGUGAUGAAGGCCUUCGGGUCGUAAAGCUCUUUUACCAGGGAUGAUAAUGACAGUACCUGGAGAAUAAGCUCCGGCUAACUCCGUGCCAGCAGCCGCGGUAAUACGGAGGGAGCUAGCGUUGUUCGGAAUUACUGGGCGUAAAGAGUACGUAGGCGGUUAUUCAAGUCAGAGGUGAAAGCCCGGGGCUCAACCCCGGAACUGCCUUUGAAACUAGAUAACUAGAGUCUUGGAGAGGUUAGUGGAAUUCCGAGUGUAGAGGUGAAAUUCGUAGAUAUUCGGAAGAACACCAGUGGCGAAGGCGACUAACUGGACAAGUACUGACGCUGAGGUACGAAAGCGUGGGGAGCAAACAGGAUUAGAUACCCUGGCAGUCCACGCCGUAAACGAUGAUAACUAGUUGUUCGGUCACUUGGUGACUGAGUGACGCAGCUAACGCAUUAAGUUAUCCGCCUGGGGAGUACGGUCGCAAGAUUAAAACUCAAAAGUAUAUAGCGUGNGAGNGCGACGAGACACGAGGAGGUAG
rnacentral:rRNA from 1 species